rnacentral:rRNA from 1 species
CCUACGGGAGGCAGCAGUGAGGAAUAUUGGUCAAUGGACGAGAGUCUGAACCAGCCAAGUAGCGUGAAGGAUGACUGCCCUAUGGGUUGUAAACUUCUUUUAUAUGGGAAUAAAAUGUUCCACGUGUGGGAUUUUGUAUGUACCAUAUGAAUAAGGAUCGGCUAACUCCGUGCCAGCAGCCGCGGUAAUACGGAGGAUCCGAGCGUUAUCCGGAUUUAUUGGGUUUAAAGGGAGCGUAGGGGGAUUGUUAAGUCAGUUGUGAAAGUUUGCGGCUCAACCGUAAAAUUGCAGUUGAAACUGGCAGUCUUGAGUACAGUAGAGGUGGGCGGAAUUCGUGGUGUAGCGGUGAAAUGCUUAGAUAUCACGAAGAACUCCGAUUGCGAAGGCAGUUCACUGGACUGCAACUGACACUGAGGCUCGAAAGUGUGGGUAUCAAACAGGAUUAGAUACCCGUGUAGUC